GACGAACGCUGGCGGCGUGCUUAACACAUGCAAGUCGAGCGGAAAGGCCACUUCGGUGGUACUCGAGCGGCGAACGGGUGAGUAACACGUGAGUAAUCUGCCCCUGGCUUCGGGAUAGCCACCGGAAACGGUGAUUAAUACCGAAUAUGACAUGGACUCGCAUGGGUUUGUGUGGAAAGUUUUUCGGCCAGGGAUGUGCUCGCGGCCUAUCAGCUUGAUGGUGAGGUAAUGGCUCACCAUGGCUUCGACGGGUAGCCGGCCUGAGAGGGUGACCGGCCACACUGGGACUGAGACACGGCCCAGACUCCUACGGGAGGCAGCAGUGGGGAAUAUUGCACAAUGGGCGCAAGCCUGAUGCAGCGACGCCGCGUGAGGGAUGACGGCCUUCGGGUUGUAAACCUCUUUCAGUAGGGACGAAGCUUUCGGGUGACGGUACCUACAGAAGAAGCACCGGCCAACUACGUGCCAGCAGCCGCCGUAAUAC
rnacentral:rRNA from 1 species